CAGUGUACCGACACAAUCGGUUUUGCAUUGUAUCGUAACUUGGAUAUGCGGUAAAAUAUGGUUGCAUGUACAUACUACUAUAGGAAGGAUAUGGCCAAGACAGUGGCAUAUAUGACCCAACAAAAGGAUACAGUGCAGCGGCACAAUUACCUUGUUGUUGGUGAGAUCUUUGUUGCUCUCGAUGUCUUGGUGGUGAAUUUGCAUCUCUAAACAAAAGAUAUACACAAGCAAAACCAACUCAUCUCCCUUGCAUGCAACCUCGAUGACAAACACAAAAGCAUGCAGAACAAUUGUUGUUUAAUAACCAAGCACCGGAGCACGAACGUGAUUCAUCUCUACAAUGUCUACAUGUAUGGACAUAGGUAGAUAUACACGUUCCAACUUUCAAAAAGAUAGCAGGAUUAUCUAACCGAAGUUCUCGGUCCAACCAAAUAUCACUACGGAAAACUUGUGAUUGCCGUGCGCCCAAAAUCACGGGCACACGACAAACACAAAUUUUGCCAUGAGCGGUCAGAAAAACACACGAAAACUAUCGGGCACACGGCAAAGUCAAAAGUUGUCGUGUGCCCAAGUAAAAAAAAACACACGGCAAAAAUUUAAGCACACGGCAAAUGUACCGAGUACACCGUGUGCUGCCUCAAGCACACGACAAAAGCCCUUGUUUGUGGUGUGCCUAACAUGUAGCACGUGGCAAACAAUGCACCCAGAGAUGGUGGUUGGCAAACCGUUAAGUUUGUCGUGUGCCAUAGGGGGCACACGGCAAAUGAGAACAUAUGCCGUGUGCUUUAUAUGAGGCAGAUCGUAAAAAUUUUCAAAAAUAUUUGAUGCAGCACUCCUAACUUUUUCUGCUAUCUACAUAAUAUUCGUGGUACUAUAUGUUAAGUUUGGGCAUUUUCUCAGUCUUUCUGCUAUAUUUAGUCAAUUUAUUUCAGUAAACGGAUUUCUUGCGGAUAAAUCAAAUUUGAAUUGCAAGUGUUUUGAAUAAUUGAAUAUAACGAGUCGAAAAUUGAUAUUUACGUUAUUGAGUGCAAUGUUAGGCCAUAUCCAUGAAAUGAAAGGAAAUUUCGUACAUCUUGCUCACGAACAUUGACCACGAACGUCUGGCCGGAUCGUUUUAAAAUUCUGUAAAAAGCUAACGGGGUCUAAAAAUCAUAAGAUUUGUCGUGGUAUCAUGAUUUCGUAUGCAGAGGCUAAGGUAAAAAAUUGAGAAGGUUUCAAACAAAUUAUCAUGUACGCUGCUCAGAAAUCGAAGAAUCUCUCUAAAAGAUCCAAAGAGUUGAGAAGAAGUCAUUUAGAUUUCAAGUCAAAGUAGUCGAAUUGGUGUAUGGCUUCAAAACUUUUUGUACAUGCAAAACACAACUUAGAUUCUUUCUUAAAAAAUUUGUUUAUUUUCUGAUGCAUUUUUAUAAGUUUAUAUUUUUUUUGCUAUUAAGUAAUAUCAUGUUAUAUACCUUGUACUUGAUCUAUAUCUGCAUAAAAUAAUGAUUUAUUUUUCAUAAAAUCAUGAAACAUGAAUUGUCGACUGAAUUUUGAAAGAUAUAUAAAUCAAAUUAUUCAAUCAAAUUAGUUAAACACGGUAAAUCUUUAGGGAUUCGAGGGGAAUGGAGGCCCUUCCCUCCUAGGUCCUCCGGGAUUUUAAUUCAAUUUGGUUCCCCGUUUCUUGUGCUUCCUUGUGCUGUUAUUUGUGUGCUGGAAUUUUGUUUUCUCUUGUUUGUUCUUGGCGCAGGUAGGCACGAGUUGCAGGCCAAGGGUGUUGGCGCUCUGCAGGGAGCACUCGGCCUUGGCUCUGCAGGGAGCAUCCCAGCAGCGGAGCAGCGCACCUCUCCCUGGUGCAGUAGUGAGUCGUUUGGGCGUGCAUAGCCGGAGCAAGGGACUUGGGUCCGCAGCACAGCACAGGGGAGCAGGCGCCCCUGGCCUUGGCGCCAGCAGCGUGGAGCAGCUAUAGCAAACGCGCGCAGCAGACACGGCACGCACACAGGGAGAGGCACGGCGCCUGCUUGGCCGGGGUGUCCACGCGCGCCAAGGGAACGGCCCGCUCAGGGACGCAGCACAGGAAGCAAGCACAGGCAGCUCUCGUAGGGGGCAAGGCCGGCCAUCAGCAGCAGCUUGCUUGGCGCUGGGCGUGCAGGCAAGCGGAGACCUUGGAGGGCGCGCGCAUCAAGAAAUCAGGAGCAGCUUCAAUUUCAGCACGCACACAAGAAUCAAUCUGCGGCAUCCAAUGAUGAACCAAUCAAUCCAGACAUGUCGCCUCCGCCGCCGCCUCAGCCUCCUUUGUGGCCGCCUCCUCAAUGGGUGUCUUACAUUCGGCAGUAAUCGAACCAGCAUCCGUGGUCGCAGCCGCCGCCGCCGCCGGCGGCCCCUUGAGUUGUAUUGACUUCAUUUGUAGGGACAUAUGUGCUACCUUUAGAUUUGAACUUGUAUGGACUAUUACAUGAACUUGUAUGCACUACUUGUGGUCGUGGAUGAACGAUACUAGAGUUUAUUUGCAUUUGUGCAUUAUUUGACUAUAUAAAUUGUCUAUAAUGUUUAUUGUGAUAUAUGAAUUGUGUGCGAUGAUUAUUGCGAUAUAUAAAUUGCUUGUGUUGAUUU